ACCUUUAUCUUUGCCUUUUCGGCUAAGAUCAAGUAUAGUAUGAGUUCAUGUGGGCCAUUGACUCACACGAUAUUAACUCAUUUUUUUAAAGAGGAAGGUCCAUCAGAGUAGCUUGCUACUCGAAAGAUAAAUAAAAUAAAAAUAUUUUUUUAUGUACCGGGA
rnacentral:snRNA from 2 species